GAUGAACGCUGGCGGCGUGCCUAAUACAUGCAAGUCGAGCGAACGGACGAGAAGCUUUCUUUUCUGAUGUUAGCGGCGGACGGGUGAGUAACACGUAGAUAACCUACUUAUAAUACUUGGAUAACUACGUAAAACCGGAGCUACUACCGCCUAAUAUUUUGAACCGCAUGGUUCAAAAGUGAAACACGGUCUUGCUGUCACUUAUAGAUGGAUCCGCGCUGCAUUAGCUAGUUGGUAAGGUAACGGCUUACCAAGGCAACGAUACAUAGCCGACCUGAGAGGGUGAUCGGCCACACUGGAACUGAGACACGGUCCAGACUCCUACGGGAGGCAGCAGUAGGGAAUCUUCCGCAAUGGGCGAAAGCCUGACGGAGCAACGCCGCGUGAGUGAUGAAGGUCUUCGGAUCGUAAAACUCUGUUAUUAGGGAAGAACAUAUGUGUAAGUAACUGUGCACAUCUUGACGGUACCUAAUCAGAAAGCCACGGCUAACUACGUG
rnacentral:rRNA from 1 species